rnacentral:rRNA from 1 species
AUUGAACGCUGGCGGCAGGCCUAACACAUGCAAGUCGAGCGGAUGAAGGGAGCUUUCUCCUGGAUUCAGCGGCGGACGGGUGAGUAAUUCCUAGGAAUCUGCCUGGUAGUUGGGGAUAACGUCCGGAAACGGGCGCUAAUACCGCAUACGUCCUGAGGGAGAAAGUGGGGGAUCUUCGGACCUCACGCUAUUAGAUGAGCCUAGGUCGGAUUAGCUAGUUGGUGGGGUAAAGGCCUACCAAGGCGACGAUCCGUAACUGGUCUGAGAGGAUGAUCAGUCACACUGGAACUGAGACACGGUCCAGACUCCUACGGGAGGCAGCAGUGGGGAAUAUUGGACAAUGGGCGAAAGCCUGAUCCAGCCAUGCCGCGUGUGUGAAGAAGGUCUUCGGAUUGUAAAGCACUUUAAGUUGGGAGGAAGGGCAGUAAGUUAAUACCUUGCUGUUUUGACGUUACCAACAGAAUAAGCACCGGCUAACUUCGUG